CUGCCUCGUUAGCCCUGAUCCCGCUCACCUGUGUUGCUCCUGCCCCGCUCGUUAGUCCCUGUGUAUAUGUAUGCCUGCCUGUCUCUCCAGUCUUUGUCACGUUUUUGCGUCUUGUUGAGUGUUCCACCUUGCUCCGUUUUCCCUGUUUUGGAUUUCUUUGUUUUCGGAUCGCCUUGUGUUUCCUGGAUUACCUUGUUUGGACUUUUGCCCUGAGCUCCAUUCUGCACUCAGCGCCCCGACCCGUGACCACACAUGGACCCAGUAGACGCAAAAAUGGAAAGGGAGAAGUUUCUGGAUGUCUUGGCCGAAUUGUGGACUAUCUGGCAGUUUGUGUCAAGCCGCUCUCACCAGGGCCCACCGGGAGGCAGCCACAAAGCCAUGGUUGCGGCGUCAGUUGCCAAGGUGGGCAAAAAGUUUUUUUGAACACUAGCAUCCCUGCGGCUAGCCCCCAGCCUGUUUCCCGGCCCGCUAGCACUGCUAGCCCCCAGCUCCUCGGUCCGAACACCUCAGCCCAGCUGCGCCUCCAGAGCACCCAAGCUUUGGGUGCCGACCUGCUCCUGCUCAGCCCCCAGUGAGUUUGCUGCCUCACUGUUGGCCGUCCUAACCAACCCCUUGAACUCGGCCUGCUAGGCCAUCCCACUGAGUUGUCUGGCCCCCCCCGGCCCAGUUCUCAGGCCUGAGGUUCCCCCGUCUGGUCCCCCUGUUCUGCCCGGCCUGCUGAGUCGACCUCUGGGUCGGCCGCCUGAAUUUGGGCCCCUGAGACUCGUGCUUUGGGUGUCUUUGCCCUGAGCUCCAUGUAAACCUGUUUUUAGUUUAGUUUUUGAAUUAAUAAAUCCUUUAAUUGAACUGCA